rnacentral:rRNA from 1 species
UUGAUUACGUCCCUGCCCUUUGUACACACCGCCCGUCGCUGCCCGGGACUGAGCCAUUUCGAGAAAUUUGGGGACCGUUAAUUAAACAUUUAUUUGUUUUUUUGAUGGAAACCAAUUUAAUCGCAGUGGCUUGAACCGGGCAAAAGUCGUAACAAGGUAGCUGUAGGUGAACCUGCUGCUGGAUCAUUA